UUGACCUCGAAUCAGGUAGGGAUACCCGCUGAACUUAAGCAUAUCAAUAAGCGGAGGAAAAGAAACCAACCGGGAUUACCUCAGUAACGGCGAGUGAAGCGGUAACAGCUCAAAUUUGAAAUCUGGCUCCUGCGGAGUCCGAGUUGUAAUUUGUAGAAGAUGCUUUGGGAGGUAGGACCGGCCUAAGUUCCUUGGAACAGGACAUCAGAGAGGGUGAGAAUCCCGUAUGCGGCCGCGGCCUAUGCCCGUGUAAAGCUCUUUCGACGAGUCGAGUUGUUUGGGAAUGCAGCUCAAAAUGGGUGGUAAAUUUCAUCUAAAGCUAAAUAUUGGCCAGAGACCGAUAGCGCACAAGUAGAGUGAUCGAAAGAUGAAAAGCACUUUGGAAAGAGAGUUAAACAGUACGUGAAAUUGUUGAAAGGGAAGCGCUUGCACCCAGACUUGGGCGUCGUCGAUCAUCCGAGGUUCUCCUCGGUGCACUCGGCGAUGCACAGGCCAGCAUCGGUUUGGGUGGUUGGAGAAAGGCUCUAGGAACGUAGCUCUCUUCGGGGAGUGUUAUAGCCUAGGGCGUAAUGCAGCCCAUCCGGACCGAGGACCGCGCCUUUGGGCUAGGAUGCUGGCGUAAUGGUUGCAAGCGACCCGUCUUGAAACACGGACCAAGGAGUCUAACAUCUAUGCGAGUGUUUGGGCGUUAAACCCAUACGCGGAAUGAAAGUGAACGUAGGUGAGAACCCGUUAGGGUGCAUCAUCGACCGAU
rnacentral:rRNA from 1 species